rnacentral:rRNA from 1 species
AAUCUGCCUUAUGCAGGGGGAUAGCCCGAAGAAAUUUGGAUUAAUACCCCAUGGUAUUUAGAGAUGGCAUCAUUUUUAAAUUAAAACUACGGUGGCAUAAGAUGAGCAUGCGUCCCAUUAGCUAGUUGGUAUGGUAACGGCAUACCAAGGCAACGAUGGGUAGGGGUCCUGAGAGGGAGAUCCCCCACACUGGUACUGAGACACGGACCAGACUCCUACGGGAGGCAGCAGUGAGGAAUAUUGGACAAUGGUCGGGAGACUGAUCCAGCCAUGCCGCGUGCAGGAAGACUGCCCUAUGGGUUGUAAACUGCUUUUGUACAAGAAGAAUAAGACUUACGUGUAGGUUGAUGACGGUAUUGUACGAAUAAGCACCGGCUAACUCCGUGCCAGCAGCCGCGGUAAUACGGAGGGUGCAAGCGUUAUCCGGAAUCAUUGGGUUUAAAGGGUCCGUAGGCGGGCUGUUAAGUCAGGGGUGAAAGUUUACCGCUCAACGGUAAAAUAGCCUUUGAUACUGGCGGUCUUGAAUAUGUGUGAAGUAAUUAGAAUAUGUAGUGUAGCGGUGAAAUGCAUAGAUAUUACAUAGAAUACCGAUUGCGAAGGCAGGUUACUAACACAUCAUUGACGCUGAUGGACGAAAGCGUGGGUAGCGAACAGGAUUAGAUACCCUGGUAGUCCACGCCGUAAACGAUGGAUACUAGCUGUUGGGGAUUUCGGUCUCAGUGGUUAAGCGAAAGUGAUAAGUAUCCCACCUGGGGGAGUACGUUCGCAAGAAUGAAACUCAAAGGAAUUGACGGGGGCCCGCACAAGCGGUGGAGCAUGUGGUUUAAUUCGAUGAUACGCGAGGAACCUUACCAAGGCUUAAAUGUGGAUUGACGUAUUUGGAAACAAGUAUUUCUUCGGACAAUUCACAGGUGCUGCAUGGUUGUCGUCAGCUCGUGCCGUGAGGUGUCAGGUUAAGUCCUAUAACGAGCGCAACCCCUGUGGUUAGUUACCACCGAGUGAAGUCGGGGACUCUAGCCAGAAUGCCGGUGCAACCCCCAGGAAAGUUGGGGAUGACUUCAAUCAUCACGGCCCUUACUCUUGG